UGAUGCAUUUAGACAAUAAAAUAUUACUCAGUGUUGAAAAUAAAUGAGCUCUCAAGCCACGUGAAUGUAUGAAAGAAAUGUAAAUGCAUAUUACUAAAUGAAAGAAGUCCAUCUGAAAUGACCACACACCAAGGCCAACUGUACGGUGUUCUGGAAAAGGCAAAACUAUAAAGACAAUUAAAAGAUUAGAGGUUGCCAGGAGUUUGGGAAGAAGGGAAGGAUAAACAGGCAGAACACAGAGGAAUUUUAGGGCAGUGCAAUUAUUCUGAAUGACAGUACAGCGUUGAAUACAUGUCACUUAUACAUUUGCCAAAACCGUAGAACGUACAACACCAAGGAGAACUAAUGUUAACUGCGGACUUUGGCUGAUAACGACAUGUCAGAGCAGGUCCAUCAGUUGUAACAAGUGUGCCAGUCUGGUGCUGAGUGUGCACGUGAUGUCACAGAGGUAUGUGGGAACUCUGCUUUCUGUUCACUUUUGCUAUGAACCUAUAUUUGCUCUAAAAAGUCAAGUCUAUCUUUAAGUAAGGCAAACUAGGGAACAAACACAGAAAUAACACCAACAAAUCCCCAAAUCCCGUGUGAAUAAUUUUCUUAAACUCUUAAAAUAGUGCACUUGAGUCAUUAAACAUAGGACUUUCCAAGCACUCUCUUAUCCUGGAUGAAUCAGCUCUUUCUAAGCUUACGCUAAAUUCCUAUUAUCACAUUGACAAAAAUUAGAUUAGGAAGGCCUUAUCAUUGAUUAGAACAUUGUUUUCACUCAGAAGAAAAUUUCGUUCUUUUUUCUAAGGAGUUGAAGUUUGAGCUCAUUAAACCAGUUUUAAGCUUUGCCUGAAUCUGUCUGACUAUACUGUAUAAAAAUUAUGCGGCCAUUCUCCAUUUCAAGUUCACUCAUCUCUUAUCCUGAACUACGAUGGUGCCUAUGUUAGCUAAAACAUAAGUCAAGGGCUAAUAAUUUAAGCACUUUUGAGUAAGAACUCCUGGGAAAGGAUGCUUUGUGUCCUGAGAGUACGGAGAAUCUCUCGUUCAGCUGAGGACUGGGUUCACCGUCUGUUACCACCGCAACCCAAUAGGCCCACAGGGAGUUGCCACACGUGCUUGUUAUAUAGGUUGUGUUCAGCAGAGCAAGUUCUGGAUCACUGAAAAUAGGUGUAAUUUAGGAAAUCAAGUGUCGUCACACAGGAAGCCACAAAAGGAUUAGAGAUAGACCAACUCAUCCACGUUUCUUCCAGCCAGAAAUCACAUCACCACCUGCCAGUGACCCAGACUUCCUUCCAGUGACCCAGUUCUUUCCAAGUACUGAAUAGUGUGGCCCCUAAACUCAUUAAAGAAUUGGAUGUGCUACAUAGUUUAAAAUGCCUUUAUCUGUGUUUUAGUAGACUCCAUGAUUUAGUCUUCCAGAAAUAUCUGAGACCACAGCAAGAUGAAUGUUGGGAAUGACAAAAAUAUGCCAAUGGGAUUUUGAAAACCAUGGAGAAAAUCUAUAGGAAACGUUAGGAAAGAAUAGGACAAGAAACAAAUGACCUGGAAAAAGAUAUAGAUACCACAAAAUUGGAUUCAUGCUAUACCCUCCUUACAGUCUUAAAGGGUAGAUUUUGAAACUCCAGAAAGCAUGUGGACUUUGUCCAAACCUGAUUUUUUUGAAAAAGCCAUAGCUUUUAUUGGACUAAUUUUUUUUUUAAAGAAAAAAACAGGUAAUGUUUGCUGACACAAUGUCUAGAUCAUAUUGGAAUCUUUGUAUUUGGUUAUUUUUUUUUUCUGUAGUUCCUAAAUUACUUUUUGUAGGUAUGAAGGUGCCUGAUAUCUAAAGAAUAACAAAACCAAUUUAAAACCUUGAGUCUACUCAUCAGUUAGAGAAACCAUCUACAAUAUUUUCCUUUAUUAGUAAUAUUUCACUUCAGUCACUCCAUUUGAUGCUAUGGAGCAUUUGACAAGAUUGAGGAUUUCUUUCUUCAGAUA
rnacentral:lncRNA from 1 species